CGGUCUUGUGGCAAGAACUGAG
rnacentral:miRNA from 2 species